AACGCGAAGAACCUUACCAGGUCUUGACAUCCCCCUGAAACUGUUGGAGACAGCAGCGGCCUUCGGGACAGGGGAGACAGGUGGUGCAUGGUUGUCGUCAGCUCGUGUCGUGAGAUGUUGGGUUAAGUCCCGCAACGAGCGCAACCCUUGAGCUUAGUUGCCAGCACGUAAUGGUGGGCACUCUAGGCUGACUGCCGGUGACAAACCGGAGGAAGGCGGGGAUGACGUCAAAUCAUCAUGCCCCUUAUGACCUGGGCUACACACGUACUACAAUGGCCGGUACAACGGGUCGCGAAGCCGCGAGGCGGAGCCAAUCCCAGCAAAGCCGGUCUCAGUUCGGAUUGCAGGCUGCAACUCGCCUGCAUGAAGUCGGAAUUGCUAGUAAUCGCGGAUCAGCAUGCCGCGGUGAAUACGUUCCCGGGCCUUGUACACACCGACGCGUA
rnacentral:rRNA from 1 species